rnacentral:rRNA from 1 species
GAUGAACGCUAGCUACAGGCUUAACACAUGCAAGUCGAGGGGCAGCACAGGGAGCAAUCCUGGGUGGCGACCGGCGGAAGGGUGCGUAACGCGUGAGCAACUUGCCCGUAUCUGGGAGAUAACCGAUGGAAACGUCGACUAAUAUCCCAUAACACAAUUUGUGGCAUCGCAGAUUGUUAAAAGAGAAUCGGAUACGGAUAGGCUCGCGUGACAUUAGCUAGUUGGAGUGGUAACGGCACACCAAGGCGACGAUGUCUAGGGGUUCUGAGAGGAAGGUCCCCCACACUGGAACUGAGACACGGUCCAA